rnacentral:tRNA from 1 species
GCCGGUGUUGCUCAGUGGAUAGAGCAUCAGCCUGCGGACUGAAGGGUCCCGGGUUCGAUUCCGGUCAAGGGCA